rnacentral:rRNA from 1 species
CCUACGGGAGGCAGCAGUGAGGAAUAUUGGGCAAUGGACGAGAGUCUGAACCAGCCAAGUAGCGUGAAGGAUGACUGCCCUAGGGGUUGUAAACUUCUUUUAUAUGGGAAUAAAAUGUUCCACGUGUGUGAUUUUGUAUUUACCAUAUGAAUAAGGAUCGGCUAACUACGUGACAGCAGCCGCGGUAAUACGGUGGAUCGGAGCGUUAUACGGAUUUAUUGGGUUUAAAGUGAGCGUAGGUGGUUUGUUAAGUCAGUUGUGAAAGUUUGCGGCGCAACCGUAAAGUGGCAGUUGAAACUGGCAGUCGUGAGUACAGUAGAGGUGGGCGGAAUUCGUGGUGUAGCGGUGAAAUGCUUAGAUAUAACGAAGAACUCCGAUUGCGAAGGCAGUUCACUGGACUGCAACUGACACUGAGGCUCGAAAGUGUGGGUAUCAAACAGGAUUAGAUACCCUUGUAGUC